UACGUAUGGAGCAAGCGUUAUCCGGAUUUACUGGGUGUAAAGGGAGUGUAGGUGGCCAGGCAAGUCAGAAGUGAAAGCCCGGGGCUCAACCCCGGGACUGCUUUUGAAACUGCAGGGCUAGAGUGCAGGAGGGGCAAGUGGAAUUCCUAGUGUAGCGGUGAAAUGCGUAGAUAUUAGGAGGAACACCAGUGGCGAAGGCGGCUUGCUGGACUGUAACUGACACUGAGGCUCGAAAGCGUGGGGAGCAAACAGGAGUAGAAACCCGGGUAGUCCGGGACU
rnacentral:rRNA from 1 species